rnacentral:rRNA from 1 species
UACAGAGGUCCCAAGCGUUGUUCGGAUUCAUUGGGCGUAAAGGGGUGCGUAGGUGGCUUGGGUAAGUUUUGAUGUGAAAUCUCCGGGCUUAACCGGAAAUGGCAUUGAAUACUAUUGAGCUGGAGGUUUGGAGGGGGGACUGGAAUUCUCGGUGUAGCAGUGAAAUGCGUAGAUAUCGAGAGGAACACCAGUGGCGAAGGCGAGUCCCUGGACAACACCUGACACUGAGGCACGAAAGCUAGGGGAGCAAACAGG